rnacentral:rRNA from 1 species
UUUUUUAAGAUUUAAUUUAAAAUACAACCUGCUCAAUGUUUCAAAUAAAUAGCUGCAGAAUAUCUGUACUAAGGUAGCAUAAUCAUUAGCUUUUUAAUUAAAAGAUAGAAUGAAUGGUUAAACAAAAUAAAUACUGUUUCUAAUUUUUAAACGAAAUUAAAUAAAUAAAGUUAAAAUUCUUUUAUAAUAUAUAAGAAAGACGACAAGACCCUAAUAAACUUAAAUUUAGCUGGGGCGGCAAAUAAAAAACACCUUAAUUUAAUAAUUAAAAUAACUAAUAAAACAAUUAAUUAACAAGUUACUAUAGGGAUAACAGCGCAACUUUAGUUAAAAGUUCUUAUACAAACUAAAUUCUACGACCUCGAUGUUGAAUUAAUUUAUCUAUUUAAAGCAAAAUUUUUAAAAGAAGGUCUGUUCGACCAAUAAUAAAUU